UCCCGCAACGAGCGCAACCCUUGUCUUUAGUUGCCAUCAUUUAGUUGGGCACUCUAAAGAGACUGCCGGUGUCAAACCGGAGGAAGGUGGGGAUGACGUCAAGUCCUCAUGGCCUUUAUGACCAGGGCUACACACGUACUACAAUGGCCGGUACAAAGGGCAGCCACUUAGCGAUAAGGAGCCAAUCCCGUAAAGCCGGUCUCAGUCCGGAUUGGAGUCUGCAACUCGACUCCAUGAAGUUGGAAUCGCUAGUAAUCGCAGAUCAGCACGCUGCGGUGAAUACGUUCCCGGGCCUU
rnacentral:rRNA from 1 species